rnacentral:rRNA from 1 species
UGCAAGUCGAGCGGUAGCACAGAGAGCUUGCUCUCGGGUGACGAGCGGCGGACGGGUGAGUAAUGUCUGGGAAACUGCCUGAUGGAGGGGGAUAACUACUGGAAACGGUAGCUAAUACCGCAUAACGUCGCAAGACCAAAGAGGGGGACCUUCGGGCCUCUUGCCAUCAGAUGUGCCCAGAUGGGAUUAGCUAGUAGGUGGGGUAACGGCUCACCUAGGCGACGAUCCCUAGCUGGUCUGAGAGGAUGACCAGCCACACUGGAACUGAGACACGGUCCAGACUCCUACGGGAGGCAGCAGUGGGGAAUAUUGCACAAUGGGCGCAAGCCUGAUGCAGCCAUGCCGCGUGUAUGAAGAAGGCCUUCGGGUUGUAAAGUACUUUCAGCGGGGAGGAAGGUGUUGAGGUUAAUA